rnacentral:snRNA from 1 species
ACCCCUCGGGGGUAUCCGAUAAAUUGGAACGAUACAGAGAAGAUAGCAUGGCCCUGCGCAAGGAUGACACGCACAAAU